rnacentral:rRNA from 1 species
GAUGAACGCUGGCGGCGUGCCUAAUACAUGCAAGUCGAGCGAACGGACGAGAAGCUUGCUUCUCUGAUGUUAGCGGCGGACGGGUGAGUAACACGUGGAUAACCUACCUAUAAGACUGGGAUAACUUCGGGAAACCGGAGCUAAUACCGGAUAAUAUUUUGAACCGCAUGGUUCAAAAGUGAAAGACGGUCUUGCUGUCACUUAUAGAUGGAUCCGCGCUGCAUUAGCUAGUUGGUAAGGUAACGGCUUACCAAGGCAACGAUGCAUAGCCGACCUGAGAGGGUGAUCGGCCACACUGGAACUGAGACACGGUCCAGACUCCUACGGGAGGCAGCAGUAGGGAAUCUUCCGCAAUGGGCGAAAGCCUGACGGAGCAACGCCGCGUGAGUGAUGAAGGUCUUCGGAUCGUAAAACUCUGUUAUUAGGGAAGAACAUAUGUGUAAGUAACUGUGCACAUCUUGACGGUACCUAAUCAGAAAGCCACGGCUAACUACGUGCCAGCAGCCGCGGUAAUACGUAGGUGGCAAGCGUUAUCCGGGAUUUAUUGGGCGUAAGCGCGCGUAGGCGGUUUUUUAAGUCUGAUGUGAAAGCCCACGGCUCACCGUGGAGGGUCAUUGGAAACUGGAAAACUUGAGUGCAGAAGAGGAAAGUGGAAUUCCAUGUGUAGCGGUGAAAUGCGCAGAGAUAUGGAGGAACACCAGUGGCGAAGGCGACUUUCUGGUCUGUAACUGACGCUGAUGUGCGAAAGCGUGGGGAUCAAACAGGAUUAGAUACCCUGGUAGUCCACGCCGUAAACGAUGAGUGCUAAGUGUUAGGGGGUUUCCGCCCCUUAGUGCUGCAGCUAACGCAUUAAGCACUCCGCCUGGGGAGUACGACCGCAAGGUUGAAACUCAAAGGAAUUGACGGGGACCCGCACAAGCGGUGGAGCAUGUGGUUUAAUUCGAAGCAACGCGAAGAACCUUACCAAAUCUUGACAUCCUUUGACAACUCUAGAGAUAGAGCCUUCCCCUUCGGGGGACAAAGUGACAGGUGGUGCAUGGUUGUCGUCAGCUCGUGUCGUGAGAUGUUGGGUUAAGUCCCGCAACGAGCGCAACCCUUAAGCUUAGUUGCCAUCAUUAAGUUGGGCACUCUAAGUUGACUGCCGGUGACAAACCGGAGGAAGGUGGGGAUGACGUCAAAUCAUCAUGCCCCUUAUGAUUUGGGCUACACACGUGCUACAAUGGACAAUACAAAGGGCAGCGAAACCGCGAGGUCAAGCAAAUCCCAUAAAGUUGUUCUCAGUUCGGAUUGUAGUCUGCAACUCGACUACAUGAAGCUGGAAUCGCUAGUAAUCGUAGAUCAGCAUGCUACGGUGAAUACGUUCCCGGGUCU